rnacentral:rRNA from 1 species
GUGUCAGCAGCCGCGGUAAUACGAAGGGGGCUAGCGUUGCUCGGAAUCACUGGGCGUAAAGGGCGCGUAGGCGGCUUAUCAAGUCGGGGGUGAAAGCCCGUGGCUCAACCACGGAAUGGCCUUCGAUACUGGUAGGCUUGAGACCGGAAGAGGACAGCGGAACUGCGAGUGUAGAGGUGAAAUUCGUAGAUAUUCGCAAGAACACCAGUGGCGAAGGCGGCUGUCUGGUCCGGUUCUGACGCUGAGGCGCGAAAGCGUGGGGAGCAAACAGGAUUAGAUACCCCGGUAGUCC